rnacentral:rRNA from 1 species
CAGUCGCCGCGGUAAUACGAAGGGUGCAAGCGUUAAUCGGAAUUACUGGGCGUAAAGGGUGCGUAGGCGGUUGUUUAAGUCUGUUGUGAAAUCCCCGGGCUCAACCUGGGAAUGGCAAUGGAAACUGGACGGCUAGAGUGUGUCAGAGGAUGGUGGAAUUCCCGGUGUAGCGGUGAAAUGCGUAGAGAUCGGGAGGAACAUCAGUGGCGAAGGCGGCCAUCUGGGACAACACUGACGCUGAAGCACGAAAGCGUGGGGAGCAAACGGGAUUAGAUACCCCCGUAGUCCCUGUCUCUUAUAU